rnacentral:rRNA from 1 species
AAGGAUCAUUAACGAAUAGCAAGGCCUCAAGCUGUCGCUGGCUCCCCCGUGAGCAUGUGCACGCUUGGGUCCGACCUUUUCAUUCUUUUACCCAACUGUGCACCUUUUGUGGAUCGUGGAAUGGAUAACCCGUCGAAGUAACAUUCGGUCUUGGGACUCGCGCCUAACACGCGCUUGACCCUACUUUCACCCGCGGUUCACGUCUUUCUACACACUUUUAAAUACAAUCUAGAAUGCUUCAGAGUUGGGACUUCAGUGACCCUUCUUAAAUAAAUACAACUUUCAACAACGGAUCUCUUGGCUCUCGCAUCGAUGAAGAACGCAGCGAAAUGCGAUAAGUAAUGUGAAUUGCAGAUUUCAGUGAAUCAUCGAAUCUUUGAACGCACCUUGCGCCUUGUGGUAUUCCACAAGGCAUGCCCGUUUGAGUGUCAUUGAAUCAUCAACCUCGACUCUUUCUUUAUGUCAGAUGUUCGAAGGCUUGGUCUUGAGGGUUUGCGGGCUCUAGUAGUCGGCUCCCUUUAAAUCCAUUAGCGAGACUUCCCUCUGCUGACCGUCUCCGGCGUGAUAAUUAUCUGCGUCGAAGUGCGGUUCUCGUUGGGCUUGCUUCUAAUCGUCUUCGGACAACAGGAUGGAGUGCGUGUAUGCGCCUUCCGUUCGAACUCUUUUGACCUCAAAUCGGGUAGGACUACCCGCUGAACUUAAGCAUAUCAAUAAGCGGAGGAAAAGAAACUAACAAGGAUUCCCCUAGUAACUGCGAGUGAAGAGGGAAGAGCUCAAAUUUAAAAUCUGGCGGUCCUUGCGGCCGUCCGAGUUGUAAUUUAGAGAAGCGUCACCCGCGUUGGACCGUGCACAAGUCUCCUCGAACGGAGCAUCAUAGAGGGUGAGAAUCCCGUAUAUGGCACGGACUACCAGGGCUUUGUGGUGCGCUCUCGACGAGUCGAGUUGUUUGGGAAUGCAGCUCAAAAUGGGUGGUAAAUUCCAUCUAAAGCUAAAUAUAGGCGAGAGACCGAUAGCGAACAAGUACCGUGAGGGAAAGAUGAAAAGAACUUUGGAAAGAGAGUUAAACAGUACGUGAAAUUGUUGAAAGGGAAACGCUUGAAGUCAGUCGCGUCUUCCGAGGAUCAACCUGGCCUUCCGCCUGGUGCACUCUUUGGAGGACGGGUCAGCAUCAAUUUUGACCGGGGGAGAAAGUUGGUGGGAAUGUGGCACCCUCGGGUGUGUUAUAGCCCAUUUUCAUAUGCCUCGGUUGGGAUUGAGGAACUCAGCACGCCGCAAGGCCGGACUUCUGUCACGUACGUGCUUAGGAUGCUGGCAUAAUGUCUUCAAUCGACC